rnacentral:piRNA from 1 species
UGGCCUUUCUUGUAGUUACUUUUACACUGC